rnacentral:tRNA from 1 species
CCCUGGGUGGUGCAAAAGGUGAGAGCACUUGGCUGCUAAACAAGAGGUUGGUGGUUCAAGUCCAUUCAGAGGCA